rnacentral:rRNA from 1 species
UACGAAGGUGGCAAGCGUUACUCGGAAUGACUAGGCGUAAAGGGCAGGUAGGUGGUUUGGUAAGUCUGCUGUGAAAGCUCCCGGCUUAACUGGGAGAGGCCAACAGAUACUGCCAGGCUUGAGUAUAGGAGAGGGUACUGGAAUUCCCGGUGUAGCGGUGAAAUGCGCAGAUAUCGGGAGGAACACCAAUGGCGAAAGCAAGUACCUGGACUAUUACUGACACUCAGCUGCGAAAGCUAGGGGAG